UACGUAGGGUGCAAGCGUUGUCCGGAAUUAUUGGGCGUAAAGAGCUCGUAGGCGGUCUGUCGCGUCUGGUGUGAAAACUCAGGGCUUAACCCUGAGCUUGCAUCGGGUACGGGCAGACUAGAGUGCGGUAGGGGAGACUGGAAUUCCUGGUGUAGCGGUGAAAAUGCGCAGAUAUCAGGAGGAACACCGGUGGCGAAGGCGGGUCUCUGGGCCGACACGUGACGCUGAGGCGCGAAAGCUAGGGGAGCAAACGGG
rnacentral:rRNA from 1 species